GGCGCAGUGGUCUAAUGGUAUGACUCCUGCUAUGUAGGUACCUGCUGAUUUCAGGCAGAGGGCGGGUGAUCUGGGUUCAAUUCCCAGCUGUGCCG
rnacentral:tRNA from 1 species